rnacentral:rRNA from 1 species
UGGGGAAUUUUGGACAAUGGGCGAAAGCCUGAUCCAGCAAUGCCGCGUGUGUGAAGAAGGCCUUCGGGUUGUAAAGCACUUUUGUCCGGAAAGAAAUCCUUGGCUCUAAUACAGUCGGGGGAUGACGGUACCGGAAGAAUAAGCACCGGCUAACUACGUGCCAGCAGCCGCGGUAAUACGUAGGGUGCAAGCGUUAAUCGGAAUUACUGGGCGUAAAGCGUGCGCAGGCGGUUUGCUAAGACCGAUGUGAAAUCCCCGGGCUCAACCUGGGAACUGCAUUGGUGACUGGCAGGCUAGAGUAUGGCAGAGGGGGGUAGAAUUCCACGUGUAGCAGUGAAAUGCGUAGAGAUGUGGAGGAAUACCGAUGGCGAAGGCAGCCCCCUGGGCCAAUACUGACGCUCAUGCACGAAAGCGUGGGGAGCAAACAGGAUUAGAUACCCUGGUAGUCCACGCCCUAAACGAUGUCAACUAGUUGUUGGGGAUUCAUUUCCUUAGUGACGUAGCUAACGCGUGAAGUUGACCGCCUGGGGAGUACGGUCGCAAGAUU